AGUGAACGCUGGCGGCGUGCCUAAUACAUGCAAGUCGAACGAACGAAUAAGAGCUUGCUCUUAUAAGUUAGUGGCGCACGGGUGAGUAAUAUAUAGCUAAUCUGCCUCUUAGUAGAGGAUAACAGUCGGAAACGAUUGCUAAUACUCUAUACUUCUGCUUUACAUAAGUAAAGUAGAGAAAGUUUUUCGCUAAGAGAUGAGGCUAUACUGUAUCAGCUAGUUGGUAAGGUAACGGCUUACCAAGGCUAUGACGCAUAACUGGUCUGAGAGGAUGAUCAGUCACAUUGGAACUGAGACACGGUCCAAACUCCUACGGGAGGCAGCAGUAGGGAAUAUUGCGCAAUGGGGGAAACCCUGACGCAGCAACGCCGCGUGGAGGUUGACACUUUUCGGAGCGUAAACUCCUUUUAUCGGGAAGGAAUAAUGACGGUACCCGAUGAAUAAGCACCGGCUAACUCCGUGCCAGCAGCCGCGGUAAAAGGG
rnacentral:rRNA from 1 species